GAUGAACGCUGGCGGCGUGCCUAAUACAUGCAAGUCGAACGAACAUUUCCGGAGCUUUCCUCUCUGACGUUAGCGGCGAACGGUUGCGUAACGCUUGGUUAACCUACCUUUAACACUCGAAUAACUGCGGGAAACCGGAGCUAACACCGGCUAAUAUAUUAAACCACAUUGUUCAAUAUGGCAAGACGGUUUUGCGGGCUCUUAUAGAUCGAUCCGCGCCGCAUUAGCUAGUUGGUAAGGUAACGGCUUACCAAGGCAACGAUGCGUAGCCGACCUGAGAGGGUGAUCGGCCACACUGGGACUGAGACACGGCCCAGACUCCUACGGGAGGCAGCAGUAGGGAAUCUUCCGCAAUGGGCGAAAGCUUGACGGAGCAACGCCGCGUGAGUGAUGAAGGUUUUCGGAUCGUAAAACUCUGUUAUUAGGGAAGAACAAAUGUGUAAGUAACUAUGCGCGUCUUGACGGUAUCUAACCAGAAAGCCACGGCUAACUACGUG
rnacentral:rRNA from 1 species